ACGGUGAGUGGAUCAAAGCUUCGGCGGCAUAGGAUGGGCCUGCGCCGUAUCAGGUUGUAGGGGGUGUAAAGUACCCUCUAGCCAUCAACGCGUACGGGUGUUGGGAGACAUUGCCCGGAGAUGGAUUCUGAGACACGAAUCCAGACCCUACGGGGUGCAGCAGGCGCGAAAACUUGGCAAUGCGAGCAAUCGUGACCAGGGAACUCCAAGUGCGUAGGGUAAGACCUACGCUUUUCUUGACUCUUCAAAGGUCUUGGAAUAAGGGGUGGGUAAGGACGGUGCCAGCCGCCGCGGUAAUACCGGCGCCUCAAGUGGUAGUCGCUUUUAUUGGGCCUAAAACGUCCGUAGCCGGUCUGGUGCAUUCGUGGGUAAAUCAACCCGCUCAACGGGUUGAAUUCUGCGAGCACGGCCAGACUUGGGACCGGGAGAGGUGUGGGGUACUCUCAGGGUAGGGGUAAAAUCCUGUCAUCCUGAGAGGACCACCUGUUGCGAAGGCGCCACACUAGAACGGAUCCGACGGUCAGGGACGAAACCUAGGGGCACGAACCGGAUUAGAUACCCGGGUAGUCCUAGGUGUAAACGCUGUGGACUUGAUGUUGGGGGUGCUCCGAGCUCCCUCAGUGUCGAAGCGAAGGUGAUAAGUCCACUGCCUGGGGAGUACGGUCGCAAGGCUGAAACUUAAAGGAAUUGGCGGGGGAGCACUGCAACCUGAGGAUUGUGCGGUUUAAUUGGACUCAACGCCGGGA
rnacentral:rRNA from 1 species